GGCCAGACUCCUACGGGAGGCAGCAGUGGGGGAUAUUGCACAAUGGGGGGAACCCUGAUGCAGCGACGCCGCGUGGGUGAAGAAGCGCCUCGGCGCGUAAAGCCCUGUCAGCAGGGAAGAAAAUGACGGUACCUGAAGAAGAAGCCCCGGCUAACUACGUGCCUGCAGCCGCGGUAAUACGUAGGGGGCAAGCGUUAUCUGGAUUUACUGGGUGUAAAGGGGGCGCAGACGGCGAUGCAAGCCAGAUGUGAAAGCCCGGGGCUCAACCCCGGGACUGCAUUUGGAACUGUGUGGCUGGAGUGUCGGAGAGGCAGGCGGAAUUCCUAGUGUAGCGGUGAAAUGCGUAGAUAUUAGGAGGAACACCAGUGGCGAAGGCGGCCUGCUGGACGAUGACUGACGUUGAGGCUCGAAAGCGUGGGGAGCAAACAGGAUUAGAUACCCUGGUACC
rnacentral:rRNA from 1 species